rnacentral:lncRNA from 1 species
GUGGAAAGCAUUUUUGUAACUGCCUAUUUGCUUCGCUGUUGGCCAAAUAUGGAGUGAAACAUCAUGUCUCAACUCCAUACCAUCCUUAGACUAGUGGGCAGGUGGAAAUCUUCAAUAGAGAGUUAAAGAAGAUUCUCGAUGCUACGGUCAAUGCAUCACGUGAAGAUUGGGCUAAGAAACUAGACGAUGCACUUUGGGCAUAUAGAACAACAUUUAAGACUCCAAUUGGCAUGUCUCCAUAUCGAUCGAUAUUUGGAAAGACUUGUCAUCUGCCGGUUGAGUUAGAGCAUAAAGCAUACUGGGCUACACACUUGCUCAAUUUCAAUAUGAGAGCAGCAGUAGAAAAGAGGGUUCUACAACUUCAUGAGCUAGAUGAGUUUCGUUUGGAUUCGUAUGAGAAUGCAAAGAUUUACAAGGAAAAGAUCAAGAGAUGGCAUGAUAGGCAUAUAAGGGAGAAGGAGUUUGAGGUUGGUCAGCAAGUAUUGAUGUUCAAUUCACGCCUCAAGCUUUUUUUGGGAAAGCUAAAGUCUAGGUGGUCGAGUCCAUUCAUAGUAGUAGCUGUGUUUCCACAUGGUGCUGUGGAAGUGGUGUCUCAAGAUCAACAAAGAAGGUUCAAAGUAAAUGGACAACGGUUGAAAGCUUAUUGGGGAGGUAACUACUCUAGUGAGAAAACAACCGUGCCACUUGAUAAUGCAAAGAAGCCAGGACGACAAGGUCUAGCUAAAGACUAUAAAUUAAGCGCUUGUUGGGAGGCAACCCAAUCUUUCCAUCCCUUUUAUUUAUUUUUCUUUUAUUUAUUUAUUGAUGUUCGAGCCAAGUAACACUUGUUCCAGAAUUUUUGUGCCUUAAUGCUUU